GACGAACGCUGGCGGCGUGCUUAACACAUGCAAGUCGAGCGGUAAGGCCCUCGGGUACGACGAGCGGCGAACGGGUGGAGUAACACGUGGGUGACCUGCCUCUAGCUCUGGGAGUAAGCCUGGGAAACGUAGGGUCGUAAUACCGGAUAUGACUCCAUGACGCAUGUUGUGGGGUGGAAAGCCUUGUGCGGCUAGGGAUGGGCCCGCGGCCUAUCAGCUUGUUGGUGGGGUGAUGGCCUACCAAGGCGACGACGGGUAGCCGGCCUGAGAGGGCGACCGGCCACACUGGGACUGAGACACGG
rnacentral:rRNA from 1 species